rnacentral:rRNA from 1 species
GGUGGGGGAUGGGCUCGCGGCCUAUCAGCUUGUUGGUGGGGUGAUGGCCUACCAAGGCGGUGACGGGUAGCCGGCCUGAGAGGGUGGACGGUCACACUGGGACUGAGACACGGCCCAGACUCCUACGGGAGGCAGCAGUGGGGAAUAUUGCACAAUGGGCGCAAGCCUGAUGCAGCGACGCCGCGUGAGGGAUGGAGGCCUUCGGGUUGUGAACCUCUUUCGCCAGUGAAGCAGGCCUGCCUCUUUUUGUGGGUGGGUUGACGGUAGCUGGAUAAGAAGCGCCGGCUAACUACGUGCCAGCAGCCGCGGUAAUACGUAGGGCGCGAGCGUUGUCCGGAAUUAUUGGGCGUAAAGAGCUCGUAGGCGGCUGGUCGCGUCUGUCGUGAAAUCCUCUGGCUUAACUGGGGGCUUGCGGUGGGUACGGGCCGGCUUGAGUGCGGUAGGGGAGACUGGAACUCCUGGUGUAGCGGUGGAAUGCGCAGAUAUCAGGAAGAACACCGGUGGCGAAGGCGGGUCUCUGGGCCGUUACUGACGCUGAGGAGCGAAAGCGUGGGGAGCGAACAGGAUUAGAUACCCUGGUAGUCCACGCCGUAAACGUUGGGCACUAGGUGUGGGGGGCCUUUUCCGGGUCUUCCGCGCCGUAGCUAACGCAUUAAGUGCCCCGCCUGGGGAGUACGGCCGCAAGGCUAAAACUCAAAGGAAUUGACGGGGGCCCGCACAAGCGGCGGAGCAUGCGGAUUAAUUCGAUGCAACGCGAAGAACCUUACCAAGGCUUGACAUGUGCCGGUCUGCUCCGGAGACGGGGUUUCCUCCCUUGUGGGGGCUGGUUCACAGGUGGUGCAUGGUUGUCGUCAGCUCGUGUCGUGAGAUGUUGGGUUAAGUCCCGCAACGAGCGCAACCCUUGUCUCGUGUUGCCAGCACGUUGUGGUGGGGACUCGCGGGAGACUGCCGGGGUCAACUCGGAGGAAGGUGGGGAUGACGUCAAAUCAUCAUGCCCCUUAUGUCUUGGGCUUCACGCAUGCUACAAUGGCCGGUACAGAGGGCUGCGAUACCGUGAGGUGGAGCGAAUCCCUUAAAGCCGGUCUCAGUUCGGAUCGGUGUCUGCAACUCGACACCGUGAAGUUGGAGUCGCUAGUAAUCGCAGAUCAGCAACGCUGCGGUG